AGCGAACGCUGGCGGCAGGCUUAACACAUGCAAGUCGAGCGGGCAUAGCAAUAUGUCAGCGGCAGACGGGUGAGUAACGCGUGGGAACGUACCUUUUGGUUCGGAACAACACAGGGAAACUUGUGCUAAUACCGGAUAAGCCCUUACGGGGAAAGAUUUAUCGCCGAAAGAUCGGCCCGCGUCUGAUUAGCUAGUUGGUGGGGUAAAGGCCCACCAAGGCGACGAUCAGUAGCUGGUCUGAGGAUGAUCAGCCACAUUGGGACUGUGACACGGCCCAAACUCCUACGGGAGGCAGCAGUGGGGAAUCUUGGACAAUGGGGGCAACCCUGAUCCAGCCAUGCCGCGUGAGUGAUGAAGGCCCUAGGGUUGUAAAGCUCUUUUGUGCGGGAAGAUAAUGACGGUACCGCAAGAAUAAGCCCCGGCUAACUUCGUGCCAGCAGCCGCCGUAA
rnacentral:rRNA from 1 species